GAUGAACGCUGGCGGCGUGCCUAAUACAUGCAAGUCGAGCGAACAGACGAGGAGCUUGCUCCUCUGACGUUAGCGGCGGACGGGUGAGUAACACGUGGAUAACCUACCUAUAAGACUGGGAUAACUUCGGGAAACCGGAGCUAAUACCGGAUAAUAUAUUGAACCGCAUGGUUCAAUAGUGAAAGACGGUUUUGCUGUCACUUAUAGAUGGAUCCGCGCCGCAUUAGCUAGUUGGUAAGGUAACGGCUUACCAAGGCAACGAUGCGUAGCCGACCUGAGAGGGUACUCGGCCACACGGGAACGGAGACCCGGCCCAGCCCCCUAGGGGGGGCGCCGGAGGGGAUUCUUCCGCAGGGGGCGAAGCCCGGACGGCGCAACGCCGCGUGAGGAAUGAGGGUCUUGGGAUCGAAAAACUCUUUUAUUAGGAAAAAAAAAAUGUGAAAGAAACUAUGCCCGUCUGGACGGUACCUAAUAAAAAACCCACGGCAAACUCCGUC
rnacentral:rRNA from 1 species